rnacentral:rRNA from 1 species
CUGGCGGCAUGCCUAANNAUGUAAGUCGAACGGACUUUCACUCCUGCGGCGGACUUCGGUCCAAAGCUUUGUGAAAUUUAGUGGCGAACGGGUGAGUAACAGGUAGACAACUUGCCUCAACGACUGGGAUAACAUCGGGAAACUGGUGCUAAUACCGGAUAGGAUUGUUCCUCGCAUGGGGAGUUCUUUAAAGGUGGGUUAAACCAUCACGUUGAGAGAGGUCUGCUUCGUAUUAGCUAGUUGGUGAGGUAAUGGCUCACCAAGGCAAUGAUGCGUAGCCGAGCUGAGAGGCUGAUCGGCCACACUGGAACUGAGACACGGUCCAGACUCCUACGGGAGGCAGCAGUUAGGGAUAUUCGGCAAUGGGCGCAAGCCUGACCGAGCAAUGCCGCGUGAAUGAAGAAGUAUUUCGAUAUGUAAAGUUCUGUUGUAAGGGAAGAAUGAUAGUGAUAGGAAAUGAUCAUUAUUUGACGGUACCUUACCAGAAAGCCCCGGCUAACUACGUGCCAGCAGCCGCGGUAAUACGUAGGGGGCGAGCGUUAUCCGGAUUUAUUGGGCGUAAAGGGUGCGUAGGUGGCCUUACAAGUCUGAGUUGAAAGCCCACGGCUUAACCGUGGAGGGUGCUCGGAAACUGUAAGGCUUGAAUCCAGAAGUGGCAAGUGGAAUUCUAUGUGGAGCGGUGGAAUGCGUAGAUAUAUGGAGGAACACCAGUGGCGAAGGCGGCUUGCUGGUCUGGGAUUGACACUGAGGCACGAAAGCGUGGGGAGCAAACAGGAUUAGAUA